UACGUAGGGGGCAAGCGUUGUCCGGAUUUAUUGGGCGUAAAGAGCGUGUAGGCGGCCAGGUAGGUCCGUUGUGAAAACUCGAGGCUCAACCUCGAGACGUCGGCGGAAACCCUCUGGCUAGAGUCCGGAAGAGGAGAGUGGAAUUCCUGGUGUAGCGGUGAAAUGCGCAGAUAUCAGGAGGAACACCCGUGGCGAAAGCGGCUCUCUGGGACGGUACUGACGCUGAGACGCGAAAGCGUGGGGAGCAAACAGG
rnacentral:rRNA from 1 species